GUCAUAUUGACCUACCCAGAAAUAGCAGACUAAGUUUCCUUAAGAAAGUAAAAAUUGACAAUAAACUUGAAAGACAAAAAGAAUUAACCAGGAUAAGAGGGUGAAGGAAUCCUGCUAUGGGUGGAACAGAAUGCAUAGGCAAAAGAGAACUUAUGGCACAUGAGAAGGACUUUUAAAAGUAUAACUAGAGAGGGAAAAACAAUGGGAGUGUGGUAUAACAUGAGGCUCAAGAGGUAGAGAAGAGCCUCAUGCGUGGAGUCAUGCAGAUGGAGUCUUGCACUGUUCCCUGGGCUAG
rnacentral:lncRNA from 10 species